GCACUGGAAGCCCGGCCAGCCUGAGGUGACAGAUGCACAACACGAAGUUUACUCUUGCUGUCAUCAAGAUAGUAAGGAGGGGAAAUAUUAUCAGAUUUAUUCAAAGUGAUGCCACCAUGCUGCCAUACUCCGAAUGAUCGAAUCUUCACCAUGGAUAAACAUCCUGCAAUUCAGACUGCGAGAGCCACGAGAGAUGGUGAAGCGUGUAUGUCCUAUGAAGAGAUAACACUUGCCCUAGCAGAAGAGUAACAUGUUUGCUCACGAGGGGAUGCCAAGACCUUCAAUUAAGACUCAUUGUGAAGUGUUACGGUACUCUCCCAUUGGUAGCACUUAACAUGUCCAAAAAUCCAACCAUAUUUCACAACGCAUCCACUGUCUUGUGUCCUGUAAGCAAAACAGCUCAAUGAAGAGAGAAGUCCUUCCAAACCUCAUCUCCUUCUCCACCUCUGAGGAAAAUACCACAGAUCCUUCCGAGGAUGCACUGGCCAGGCUGUGUCCUAUACCUGGAGCAGCCUUCUGUCAGCUAAAACACAGACAGACUGCUAACUUGGCCAAACAACAAGCGAUGCUGGUUACAUUAGCCGAGUAAAACUUGGAAAUCACAAAACCUACGCACCAGAUACAAUGCAAGCAUGGUAGCCAGGUGCUAAUGACAUUAGCAUAAUAUAAAAAGCACAAUUAUCUUGGUCACACAUGCCCCAACAACUUAUCUAUGAAACAAAGGACAGCCCAGACACAAAGGCACUGAGUCCUAUUGCACAGAGGAACUAACAGUAGAUGGCAUCUAAAUGUUUGGCUCUUGUUUCAAACUGUUACGUAUAUUUCCCUGACUGCCCAUAACUAUAGAAUGUUCCAAAAGGCCAUCCGAAAAUAGCAUGGCAAGAGGGAGACCAGUUGACCAUCCAGAGGGACAAGAAGAAAGCAGCUUUGUAGAGCCAGAGACAGAGCCACAGAGAGCAUGCAACUGUAAAUCUACAAGAGAGUUGGGAACUAUUGCAACC